rnacentral:rRNA from 1 species
GAUGAACGCUGGCGGCGUGCCUAAUACAUGCAAGUCGAGCGAACAGACGAGGAGCUUGCUCCUCUGACGUUAGCGGCGGACGGGUGAGUAACACGUGGAUAACCUACCUAUAAGACUGGGAUAACUUCGGGAAACCGGAGCUAAUACCGGAUAAUAUAUUGAACCGCAUGGUUCAAUAGUGAAAGACGGUUUUGCUGUCACUUAUAGAUGUAUCCGCGCCGCAUUAGCUAGUUGGUAAGGUAACGGCUUACCAAGGCAACGAUGCGUAGCCGACCUGAGAGGGUGAUCGGCCACACUGGAACUGAGACACGGUCCAGACUCCUACGGGAGGCAGCAGUAGGGAAUCUUACGCAAUGGGCGAAAGCUUGACGGAGCAACGCCGCGUGAGUGAUGAAGGUCUUCGGAUCGUAAAACUCUGUUAUUAGGGAAGAACAAAUGUGUAAGUAACUAUGCACGUCUUGACGGUACCUAAUCAGAAAGCCACGGCUAACUACGUG